CCCUUAGAUGUCCUGGGCUGCACGCGCGCUACACUGAUGUGUCCAGUAAGCACCUAACCUAUUCCGAGAGGAGCGGGUAACCUUAGCAAAGCACAUCGUGAUGGGGAUAGAUUAUUGCAAUUAUUAGUCUUGAACGAGGAAUUCCUAGUAAGCAUAAGUCAUCAGCUUGUGUUGAUUACGUCCCUGCCCUUUGUACACACCGCCCGUCGCUCCUACCGAUUGAAUGUUCCGGUGAGCUCUUCGGACUGCGCGGUCUGCAGUUUCUGCGUUCCGUGCGGAAAGUUGUGCAAACCUUAACAUUUAGAGGAAGGAGAAGUCGUAACA
rnacentral:rRNA from 1 species